CUUAUAAAUAAGUUAAACAUCAACUUUUUUUGGAGUAGUUAACAGGAGAAAGCUUUUACAAAUUAGUUUAACAUAUGUACAUAAACUAAUUCUAGUUUGUGGAAAAGCUUUAUCUCAUAUUUCUUAUAUCAAUUUUCUUCUCCUACAAGAGUUUCUGAAGAGGUUUAUCCAACGUUCUUUAUGCUUACCUUUUGUCCUUUUCAAGUAGCAGUAGUAUAUGCUGAUAGCCAAUAGAGCUAGUACUACAAUUCCAGCUAUGACAAUGAUUACUAUAGGCCACCACCUUCUGUUAUUCCCAUCUGUGGCUGCAUUAUCUUGCUGAGGUGGUGGUGCAGAAUCAGUACCAUUCAAAAAGAAAGGCUGAGUUUCAUACAUAACUAUACAACUUGGAGAAAAGAUACGCCACACCUUCUUCUCCUGACAGCAACUGUCAACAUCCUCAAGCAUAUUGCUCAAACAUGUUCUGCAUUCCUCAGCUGUAAUGUCUCUGCUGCACUGCACCCAACCAUACCUUCUCUGAGUGCCAUUUAUGUUGAACAUAUGUGUUCCAAACUUUAAGGGUGCCUCUGACCCUAUUUGUAUCAAACCAUUCAUCAAAACCUGAGCAUCACUGUCAAACUCUCCAGCACUAGUAGAAUUCUGCGUGGCAUCAAACAUGGGAAUCCUUGGCGUAAGGGUGAGAUUUCCAAAGAAAUUCUGGUUUGAGUACCUCAGAAGACAAUAGGGAUACCAGAGAAUAGCUGAGGCAUUGUUGGGGCAGUGCUGCAUGAGCAAGAUGCUAGAGUUUUGGACACAAGUGUUGCAAAGGCUGGUGUUCACAUCACCACGGCAAAGGUAGAGUCCAUAAACCAUGUCUUGAUUAACACCUGAAGUUCUAUUCCCAAAACCAUUGCUUGUAGCAGAAUCAGAUGAGAGGGAAGUGAACAAAUUGUCGAGGUUGGUUUGGUAAGAAGUAGAGGGAGGAGCAGAAGAUUGGUCCAAACAAGCAUAUCUAUAAUCAAGUGGUUGCUGUGAGUUGCUGCUGUUCUGAGCAGCAACAAAGCAAACAACGAGGUAUACCAGUUUGAUGAUGAAUAACCACUGAUAGAUCAUUCUUCUUUUGCUGCAAUCACCACUGUGUAUCAUCAGC
rnacentral:sRNA from 1 species